AGUGUUCGAUUAAGCCAUGCGAGUUAAUGUUCUUCGUGAACAUAGCAGACUGCUCAGUAACACGUGGAUAACCUGCCCUUAGGACUGGCAUAACCCCGGGAAACUGGGGAUAAUUCCGGAUAGAUCAUAAAUGCUGGAAUGCUUUAUGAUUGAAAGGUUUCGACCGCCUUAGGAUGGAUCUGCGGCCUAUCAGGUUGUAGUGGGUGUAAUGUACCUACUAGCCUACGACGGGUACGGGUUGUGGAAGCAAGAGCCCGGAGAUGGAUUCUGAGACAUGAAUCCAGGCCCUACGGGGCGCAGCAGGCGCGAAAACUUUACAAUGCGGGAAACCGUGAUAAGGGAACACUGAGUGCUAGCAUUUAUGUUAGCUGUCCACAUGUGUAAAUAGCAUGUGAUAGCAAGGGCUGGGCAAGACCGGUGCCAGCCGCCGCGGUAACACCGGCAGCCCGAGUGGUGAUCACUAUUAUUGGGUCUAAAGGGUCCGUAGCCGGUUUAAUCAGUCUUCUGGGAAAUCUAAUCGCUUAACUAUUAGGCUUCCAGGGGAUACUGUUAGACUUGGGACCGGGAGAGGUAAGAGGUACUGCAGGGGUAGGAGUGAAAUCUUGUAAUCCCUGUGAGACCACCAGUGGCGAAGGCGUCUUACCAGAACGGGUCCGACGGUGAGGGACGAAAGCUGGGGGCACGAACCGGAUUAGAUACCCGGGUAGUCCCAGCUGUAAACGAUGCUCGUUAGGUGUCAGGAACGGUGCGACUGUUUCUGGUGCCGAAGGGAAGCCGUGAAACGAGCCACCUGGG
rnacentral:rRNA from 1 species